rnacentral:rRNA from 1 species
AACAUCGCCUCUUGACCACUAUAAGAGGUCCAGCCUGCCCAGUGACCAGUUUAACGGCCGCGGUACCCUAACCGUGCGAAGGUAGCAUAAUCACUUGUUUCUUAAAUAGAGACUAGUAUCAACGGCAUCACGAAGACUAUACUGUCUCCCCCCUAAAAUCAAUGAAACUGAUCUCCUCGUGAAGAAGCGAGGAUGUAUAUAUAAGACGAGAAGACCCCAUGGAGCUUUAAACGAACUUCAAUUGUUCCUACCCAUAACAUACAAAUUGAACACCCCUGAUAGUUAGUUUUAGGUUGGGGUGACCGCGGAGUAAAACAAAACCUCCACAAUGAAUGAAAUAAAAUUCUUAUAAAAGAACCACAAUUCUAAUAAUCAAAAAUUUGACAUAAAUUGACCCAAACACUUGAUCAAUGAACCAAGUUACCCUGGGGAUAACAGCGCA